UACGGAGGGUGCGAGCGUUGUCCGGAAUCACUGGGCGUAAAGGGCGCGUAGGCGGCCUGAUAAGUAGGGGGUGAAAUCCUGCGGCUUAACCGCAGGGCUGCCUUCUAAACUGUCAGGCUUGAGCACAGUAGAGGCAGGUGGAAUUCCCGGUGUAGCGGUGGAAUGCGUAGAGAUCGGGAAGAACACCGGUGGCGAAGGCGGCCUGCUGGGCUACUGCUGACACUGAUGCGCGACAGCGUGGGGAGCAAACAGG
rnacentral:rRNA from 1 species